GAUGAACGCUGGCGGCGUGCCUAAUACAUGCAAGUCGAGCGAACAGACGAGGAGCUUGCACCUCUGACGUUAGCGGCGGACGGGUGAGUAACACGUGGAUAACCUACCUAUAAGACUGGGAUAACUUCGGGAAACCGGAGCUAAUACCGGAUAAUAUAUUGAACCGCAUGGUUCAAUAGUGAAAGACGGUUUUGCUGUCACUUAUAGAUGGAUCCGCGCCGCAUUAGCUAGUUGGUAAGGUAACGGCUUACCAAGGCAACGAUGCGUAGCCGACCUGAGAGGGUGAUCGGCCACACUGGAACUGAGACACGGUCCAGACCCCUACGGGAGGCAGCAGUAGGGAAUCUUCCGCAAUGGGCGAAAGCCUGACGGAGCAACGCCGCGUGAGUGAUGAAGGUCUUCGGAUCGUAAAACUCUGUUAUUAGGGAAGAACAAAUGUGUAAGUAACUAUGCACGUCUUGACGGUACCUAAUCAGAAAGCCACGGCUAACUACGUG
rnacentral:rRNA from 1 species